UCCUACGGGGGGCAGCAGUAGGGAAUUUUCGUCAAUGGGCGCAAGCCUGAACGAGCAAUGCCGCGUGAACGAGGAAGGUCUUCGGAUCGUAAAGUUCUGUUGAAGGGGAAAAAGAGCGGAGAGAGGAAAUGGUCUCCGAUUGAUAUUACCCUUCGAGGAAGUCACGGCUAACUACGUGCCAGCAGCCGCGGUAAUACGUAGGUGGCGAGCGUUAUCCGGAAUGAUUGGGCGUAAAGGGAGCGUAGGCGGCCUGCUAAGUCUGGAGUGAAAGGUACCAGCUCAACCGGUACAGGCUGUGGAAACUG
rnacentral:rRNA from 1 species